ensembl:lncRNA
CUCCUUCGUGGCAACAAAGUCUGUUCUCUAUGUCUGUGAGUCUGUUUCUGUCUUCUGAAUAAGUUCAUCUGUGUUGUAUUUAAAUUCCACAUAUAACUUAUAUCAUAUGGUAUUUGUCUUUCUCUGACUUUUUGCUUAAUAAUCUCUAGGUCCACCCAUGGUCCUGCAAAUGGUAGUAUUUUAUUCUUUUUCAUGGCUGAGUAAUAUUCCAUGUGUAUAUAUAUAUAUAUAUGUGUGUGUGUGUGUAUAUAUAUGUAUGCAUAUAUAUAUAAAAUAUCUUACAUCUUCUUUAUCUCUUCAACUGUUAGUGGACAUUUAUGUUUUUUCCAUGUCUUGGCUAUUGUCAAUAGCGCUGCUGUGGAAGCUAAUUUUAAAAGACAUGUGCUUUUACUUCAUCUAAGCUAGUGAGGCAGAACAUAGUAAUUAUAUACAUAGCUUAUUAAUACUGUGUCCCUAAGAAAUGACGGAUCCAACUUCAAACCCAAGAUUGUUUGUUCAUAUUCUUUUUGCCAUACUCUGUCUUCUCCCAUGGCAGGACAAAGAGGUUCUUUGUCCUUUACUGUCCUUCACUGCAAUUCUUUUCAGUGGCUUUGAAAAAAAGAAAACGUCCCUUUCCCCACUGAUAUGGAAAAAUCUAGUUCUACCCUUAUAGCCUUUAAAAUAGGUAUGGAAUUCUUUACUAGUGGAGGGGAGCUUGCGUCAUUCUUGUAAGUCAAUCUGUUUCCUCUUCAGAAAUGUUCUUGUGAUAUUGGGAUUAUAAUUGCUUUGCUUUAUAUGUAUUGGGAGGUGAAACACUUGGGAAAUCUCACUGUUGUUGUGUUGUUGUUCAGUCACUAAGUCAUGUCUGACUCUUUGCCACGCCAUGGAUGUAGCCUGCCAGGCUUAUCUGACCAUGGGGUUUCCCAGGCAAGAAUGCUGGAGUGGGUUGCCAUUUCUUUCUCUAGGGGAUCUUCCUGGCCCAGGGAUCAAACCCACGUCUCCUGCAUUGGCAGGUGGAUUCUUUACCACUGAGCCACCUGGGAAGUCCGCAGGAAAGCUCAUAUGUUGGCCUCAAAACUUACUCCCAUUUUUGGGAAGGCCUCGGUUUGCUGGUAUUGUGCCUGAUUUGUUAGAAGAGGCUCAUGCAACUCUGUCGACAUGAGUCUUUUCUGUUUCCUGUUGUGAGAACUGACAGAGCAAAGCUCACCAAAAUAAUGACGUGUUUAUGCGAACAUCAAAAACUCAAAACAAAAUAGUUUGGAUCUUGUAAAUGACACCAUAGUAAACCACGAUCAUGGGAAUGGAAAACCAGCUUUAAGGGAGAAAGAAAAGAGCUUAUAAUGUCCUUUCCUGUGUCCUGCUUAUUAUGCCCAGUUCCACUCUGCCCAUACAAGUCACCCAUCUAAGAAACAAAUGUACCAUUCAUCAAGGCUGUGCUCUUUCUAAUUUGAGGCUUAUCCAAAAUUUCCUUUAGUUUUGCAAUUUUAGGGGAUAAUGUGGCUUCCCCUAAAUUCUACCCCCAUCUUUUAGAAAAGCAGUACCUCUAACUAAAUUUUAUAAGAUGCUCUCACAUUUUCAAAAAGUGAAGGGGAAUGCAGAUGACCAGGAACAGAGGGUAUGGACAAUGAAGGAGAGGUGGUACAUGCAGUUUCAGAGGAGAUGGCAAAAGAGCAUCACGCUGGUGAGACCAAAUUGUAUGCUGAGGCUGCCGCAUGUGACAGGCUGCCACACAUGGUCCUGGUUCCAGAGAAAAAGCCUUUCUACAGGUUUCUUUACAGAGGCCAGCAUCUCCGUUUCGAUUUCAGGAAAUCCCCAAACAGGAAAUGAGAUGUUGCAGGCUUUAGGCUUUGGGGACAGACUCACGAGAGAGAGAAAUUUCAGCAGCCUAAAAACUGCUCUUCUUGGCUUCUGAGGACAUGCAGCUGACCAAGGUGAACCCCGCUUCCUCCUCUUGUCCAUGUCACUGGCUCGAGCGCCUGGGUUCUAUCUCGGCACCCAUCACCCCAGAACCAGCGUUCCCUACACAGCCCACGUUCCUCCCCUUGACACGGGAAUCUGCUCACCUUGCAUGAGCCUGGAACAAACUGGUCAUUCGUGGGCAUCUUUAGGAGAAAACAACCCCUAAUCUCGUGUGGACUGGGAAGAGUCUGUCUUGGCAGGCACGGCAGAGGGGCUGCUGUAGAACUCAGGGCUGAAGCAGUCUGACCUCAGCGCUGGCAGCCUCUGCGAUGACCUUGGAAAAGACCUCAUGUCAACUUGAUCUGAACCUCCAGACAAAAUGCGUGAGUUCAGCCAAACAUUUGAAUGUUUCCGACGUUUGACUGUUUGCCAUCACAUGGAGACAGUCUUCAUGGCGCUAGACUUUGAUUUGAACCUCAAAGAAAGCGGUUGAGAAGGGGUCCCUCUCCACUCCCAUUCUCCCCUUUUCCAGCACCCUUGUAAACAAACUAUGGGGUGUAGUUGGGCCAUGCAGAUAUAGCAAGCUCUCAUACGAUUCACAUAUUGCUAGCAUACAGUGGAGGUGGGUUUAGGAUAAUUUGGAGAUGACUGGGAAGUGGCACUAAGUCUGGGACCUUGACCGUGUCACCAGGACUUGCAGAGCUUUCACGAUGCUGUUCUCUGCGUCAGGGCUCACUGCUUCCCAGUGAAACAGAGAGCGUGGUCUCGGGCAGUGCCCAGCUCCCCUCACGUCUUGGGUUUAAUGUGUCACAGAUUUCUGCAGGGCAUUGCCCAGUGGGAUAACUGAUUAAUCUGAGAUCGUCAUUAAUUGUUUCAUGCCUGUUAUAUGGGAUGGGAGGGUGGUUUCAGUGUAGAUGUAUUGUGAGAAUAGCCAGGGAUGAGAGACAGCAUUGCUUGUUUUCUCAUCUCCUGUGGACUUCAGAUCUUCCAAGUGAGCCUGGCAAUUAUCUAAGGAAGAAAAGAGCGACAUGUGGUUUUUCCCAGUGGGGGCUUUCAUUGUCCACCGGGGUCCCUGUGUUUACUGCAGCUCAAGGAAACCAUGACAACCAUAUUUGUCUCUAUUUCCUCUCCCCUUGAUGCUUCUGGUUCCAUCUGUUCAGUACUCACCAAGGAAGUCAACAUUUGGCCUCUUUUCUCAUUAUAAAUAAAAGUAUGCUUAUAUGAGUUUAUUUUGUAAGAAAU